AAAAAAAGGUGAAGGGGAGAAAGUGGUAGAAUUGUGGUAGAAUCCCGUGAAGUCUAAUUUUCAAAUGGAUGCUCUUCAGCCCGGGGAUGACUGUCUGCCUGUGAAAAAGCACACCCGGGUCCCACAGGGGCAGAGCACAGGGUAUGGAACACUAGGGAGGAGACCCUAUGGGAAACCUCUACUAUAAUUGGAGUUGGGAAGGAGCUAUCACACCUUACCACUGAGGUCAACUACCCCAAAAAGGAAGACCUCACCUGCAGACCUCAACAGGAAGAAAGUCAAUGACAGACCACAACACGUGACUACUUUCAUACUCCAUCAGAUUCUCCCCCUGCCCAGCAACAAGCCCAGAUAACGGAAACAUCACAGCUUAACCAAUGAGAAGCCAUCAUUACCUGAACUCUUACUUUCCUUUAAUGAACUUUCGAUUUUCUUUUGCUGACUUCGUCCUGCCCUCCUUUCUCUAAAAGCCUUCUAUCUUGUAUAACCCCUCGUAGCAUCUCUGCUUAUUAGAUGAAUUGCUGCUUGAUGCAUGAAUCAUUUAAUAAAGCCAAUUAGAUCAUC